rnacentral:rRNA from 1 species
CGAACGCUGGCGGCGUGCCUAAUACAUGCAAGUCGAACGAACUCUGGUAUUGAUUGGUGCUUGCAUCAUGAUUUACAUUUGAGUGAGUGGCGAACUGGUGAGUAACACGUGGGAAACCUGCCCAGAAGCGGGGGAUAACACCUGGAAACAGAUGCUAAUACCGCAUAACAACUUGGACCGCAUGGUCCGAGUUUGAAAGAUGGCUUCGGCUAUCACUUUUGGAUGGUCCCGCGGCGUAUUAGCUAGAUGGUGGGGUAACGGCUCACCAUGGCAAUGAUACGUAGCCGACCUGAGAGGGUAAUCGGCCACAUUGGGACUGAGACACGGCCCAAACUCCUACGGGAGGCAGCAGUAGGGAAUCUUCCACAAUGGACGAAAGUCUGAUGGAGCAACGCCGCGUGAGUGAAGAAGGGUUUCGGCUCGUAAAACUCUGUUGUUAAAGAAGAACAUAUCUGAGAGUAACUGUUCAGGUAUUGACGGUAUUUAACCAGAAAGCCACGGCUAACUACGUGCCAGCAGCCGCGGUAAUACGUAGGUGGCAAGCGUUGUCCGGAUUUAUUGGGCGUAAAGCGAGCGCAGGCGGUUUUUUAAGUCUGAUGUGAAAGCCUUCGGCUCAACCGAAGAAGUGCAUCGGAAACUGGGAAACUUGAGUGCAGAAGAGGACAGUGGAACUCCAUGUGUAGCGGUGAAAUGCGUAGAUAUAUGGAAGAACACCAGUGGCGAAGGCGGCUGUCUGGUCUGUAACUGACGCUGAGGCUCGAAAGUAUGGGUAGCAAACAGGAUUAGAUACCCUGGUAGUCCAUACCGUAAACGAUGAAUGCUAAGUGUUGGAGGGUUUCCGCCCUUCAGUGCUGCAGCUAACGCAUUAAGCAUUCCGCCUGGGGAGUACGGCCGCAAGGCUGAAACUCAAAGGAAUUGACGGGGGCCCGCACAAGCGGUGGAGCAUGUGGUUUAAUUCGAAGCUACGCGAAGAACCUUACCAGGUCUUGACAUACUAUGCAAAUCUAAGAGAUUAGACGUUCCCUUCGGGGACAUGGAUACAGGUGGUGCAUGGUUGUCGUCAGCUCGUGUCGUGAGAUGUUGGGUUAAGUCCCGCAACGAGCGCAACCCUUAUUAUCAGUUGCCAGCAUUAAGUUGGGCACUCUGGUGAGACUGCCGGUGACAAACCGGAGGAAGGUGGGGAUGACGUCAAAUCAUCAUGCCCCUUAUGACCUGGGCUACACACGUGCUACAAUGGAUGGUACAACGAGUUGCGAACUCGCGAGAGUAAGCUAAUCUCUUAAAGCCAUUCUCAGUUCGGAUUGUAGGCUGCAACUCGCCUACAUGAAGUCGGAAUCGCUAGUAAUCGCGGAUCAGCAUGCCGCGGUGAAUACGUUCCCGGGCCUUGUACACACCGCCCGUCACACCAUGAGAGUUUGUAACACCCAAAGUCGGUGGGGUAACCUUUUAGGAACCAGCCGCCUAAGGUGGGACAGAUGAUUAGGGUGA